GACGAACGCUGGCGGCGUGCUUAACACAUGCAAGUCGAACGAAGAGCGAUGGAAGCUUGCUUCUAUCAAUCUUAGUGGCGAACGGGUGAGUAACGCGUAAUCAACCUGCCCUUCAGAGGGGGACAACAGUUGGAAACGACUGCUAAUACCGCAUACGAUCUAACCUCGGCAUCGAGGAUAGAUGAAAGGUGGCCUCUACAUGUAAGCUAUCACUGAAGGAGGGGAUUGCGUCUGAUUAGCUAGUUGGAGGGGUAACGGCCCACCAAGGCGAUGAUCAGUAGCCGGUCUGAGAGGAUGAACGGCCACAUUGGGACUGAGACACGGCCCAGACUCCUACGGGAGGCAGCAGUGGGGAAUCUUCCGCAAUGGACGAAAGUCUGACGGAGCAACGCCGCGUGAGUGAUGACGGCCUUCGGGUUGUAAAGCUCUGUUAAUCGGGACGAAAGGCCUUCUUGCGAAUAGUUAAAG
rnacentral:rRNA from 1 species